AUCCAACUGACGAGUCCCAAAAUAGGACGAAACAUGCAU
rnacentral:hammerhead_ribozyme from 1 species